UUGUAGUCCCAGCUACUCAGGAGGCUGAGGCAGGAAGAUCGCCUGAGGCCAGAAGUUGGAAGCGGGAGUGUGUUAUAAUUGGGCCUGUGAAUAGCUGCUGUACUCAAGCCUGGGCAACAUAGCCAGAACCUGUCUCUUAAAAAGAAAAAAAGAUGAAAAAUGAAAGUACCUGUGAUUGGACCCCUCCUGCAACCAAUCAGCAAUCAGACUGGUGGCAGGCCAAGUCUUCAUGUGUACCUUUGUAACUUCACCUCAGCCUCUGAUUGGUCACCUUCUGCAACCAAUCAGGCUGAUUGCAGGCCACUAUUUCGUUUACAUAGGGUGUAAACCAAGUAACCAAUGGGAAACCUCCGGAGGGUAUUUAAACCCUGGAAAAGUCUGUAACCAGCACUCUUGAGCAGCUUGCUCAGGACUGUCUCAGUAUGUGGAAUGUACUUUCAUUUCAAUAUAUCUGUAUUUUCCUUGCUUCAUUUUUUC